UGCUCUUAAUCAAUGCGCUCUCGCUAAACGAAGUUAUGAAACUCUGCUGCUGCUGCGUCGACUGGCGUCAGGUUGCAUGGCCGUCGAGCAACCUGGCGCGCUUCAAUAAGAUGCGUGGCAAGGGGGUCCAAUCCACGCAGCUUGCAGCACAGCUGCGGAAGUAUCUAUAGCUAUGGCGACGAUCACCACCAUUGGCACUCUGGGUGCUUCUGAUCUCGCCUUGCUCGUCAUGCCCCUUUGCGUAACGAAUCGUGUGGUGGCGACCUCGAGAUCGGCAUCCCUGACCUUCGCGGUUUGUUUUCCGUGAGCGGGCGUGGAGCGGGGCUUAAGUCACGGGUAUACGUGGACUUUGGUGAGGAAUGACUCGACGUUGUGAAGGAGAAGGCGGCGAGAGUUCUUGCCCCAGUGAUGUUUGUGAUAGUGCGCUCUAGGCCGUGAUGUUUGUUUCUUGUGGAGCCUCGGGAACGAAUCCUCACAUUUGUGAUGGACAGAAGAAGGUUUGAAGAUAUUCGCCGAAGACGUCGCCUGCAAGAGGGAGGGAGAGACUGAGCGUGAGAUAAAGUAGGGCUAUAGGUACCUGAAUGUUUCGAAGAUUGUUCGGAGCUAUAUUAGGGGGCAGUUGUUUUUCGUUUGGAUAGCCGUGUGAUGAUAUUGUCCAUGUGAAUUUUGCGUGGUGGAUGCACUGGAUAUCGUGCCCCGAGAUCGCCUUGGAGAAGAACGUAAAUUUUCGGUUUGGGUGGUCAGAGAGAGAAGCAACAUAGGUUCAAGACAUACUGAUACUGAUGAGCAGCGUAAGACAAAAGAGGUUUGGGCAUUUUCUUCGCUCUUAGGCAGGUGAAGAGUGCCGGAUUCUAUUUAUGAGGGAAAAGGGGUAUGGUAAGGUGGAAUUGUGGCAUCUUUACAGGCUGACAGUAGAGUGAAAGGCCCAGCCGUGGUUUCCGCGGAAGAUCGGGAGCCAUUUUAAUGUGUUUGCAGAGACAUGAUUUUAACGUAGCAAUGAAGGUCCUCCAGGAAGGAAAUGGGCACAACCCCAAUUCGGCAGAGUGCAGCCUUGCCUUUCUUGGGUUAGAUCAGAUUUUGGUUAUCUUACAGUUUCUCCCCGUCCAGUCAUUGAUUGCAUUCGGACUCACAUGCAAGAGAUUCAAAGAAAUCGCAGAGGGGGACAGCCUGUGGGCUUUCAUUUGCGUACGGGAAUGGGGCAGUCGAGCAGUGCACUCGUGGCCAAAGCAUGGUAAAGAGAGAGGGGGCUGGAAGUGGGUUUACAGACAAAUGCUGAUGCUCAAGGCUGGGUCCUGGCGCAAAGUAGAGCAAGGGGGUGUGUCGCCUGCGCCUCGGGCGUCGCACUCUCUUUGUACAGUUGCAGGUAACCUAAUAGUAUUCGGAGGAGGGUGUCAGGGAGGGCGCCACCUUGACGACACAUGGGUUGCUUCCCUGCCCACUGAAAUCUCUGAAGGUAUUGUUUGGCAAAGAAGCAACCUCGGCAGUCCUUCUGGACGAUUUGGACAGAGCUGCACGGUUGUCAAUGACGCGAUAGUGCUCUUCGGGGGGAUCAACGAUCAAGGGGCGCGUCAAUGCGAUACUUGGAUCAAAAGUGGAUUAAGCAGCGGGAACAUGCAUGACAGCCCUGUCUGGGAGCUGGUUGAUGUGGUGAAAUCGCCUCCUCCUCGCGGUGCCCAUGCAGGCUGCUGUGGCGGUGAUGGCAGGGUGGUCAUAUUCGGGGGAAUUGGAACUGAGCUGAACAGAUUUUGCGACACUUGGGUUUUAGACUUGGCAGAAUCCCCCCUUAUUUGGCACGAGGUGAUCACCCCGGUCUCUCCGCCCGCACGGUCGGGUCACACAAUGACCUGGAUAGGUGGUAGAAGAAUGAUCCUCUUCGGCGGACGAGGGAUACGAUUCGAAGUCUUGAACGAUGUGUGGCUGCUCAACAUGGAGGGUACGUUUCCACAAUGGGUAGAAUUGCGUCCCUGCGAACAACCCCUCCACGAUCGGCCGACUCCCCGCGCUGGCCACUCUGCCACUCCAAUAUUCGGCGGAAGAAUUUUAAUUUUUGGAGGUGAGGAUGCUCGUAGGUCACGAAAAGGAGAUGCCUGGGUGCUUGACCCCAGGGCUGGUGUACAGGUUGGAUGUGAAUCCUCGUGCAUGUCGAGUUAUACCCAGAAACCUUUGAUUGAAGAAAAAAUGGCGCCUCGGUUCUGGAAGAAGCUUAAGCAGUUGGGUCAGCUCCCGAGCAGACGAUCCUUCCAUGGUGCAUGUGCUCUGGACUCCGGGCACUCAAUCCUUGUCUUCGGGGGCAUGGUCGAUGGGGAGCUUCUGCCAGGAGUGGCUACUGGUCUCGGAUUCGACGCCGAGAUGCACAUGCUGCAGCUGGUUCCUUGCUGCAAGUAGCUCUCUCCCGACCCUCCUUCCUACCUAUCUUCAUUGUACAAAUUGGUAACUCCCAAACAAUCAAUCAAUUAUGGGGUGAGGAAUAACCUGGUAUAAGUAAGAGCUUAGAGGUAUUACAGUGGUUGCUAAUAGGAAAGGAUUUGGCUUAACAGUAGGGUGUUGGAAGCUGCUACAGGUGAGUGGCCUGCAACGUCCAUCAUGUACACAUUCUAAGUUAAUCAUAUCUCAGUUGUGAAUGACUCCACUAGGCGCUCGCGUAUUGUUCCCGAAGUUUCCUGUACCUAUAAUUCGUUAAUAUGUUAUACCUCAAUUGAAGACCGUUCACAAUAAUUGGUGAGCAAUGAUCAGCUGCCCUCGAGUGGGCUUUGCAUAUGAGCACUCUAUGUGUCUAACGCUGCGACCUACAAUCACACGUUAAUCCAAGUUGCACUUUACGUGUUGCUGCCAACUAUCCGACACCAAUCAACCUAACUUGCGUGGAGUGGAACGUGCAAUAAAGCUGCCUUGAGUCCUACUGGUUGUGAUGUUUCAAGGAGUUACUCAGUGCCGACAAGUGUUGCUGUGCUGGCAGUCUCAAGCUACAACUGAAUAUCUUCUUGUCACCUGAAUCUCACCUCUUUCCAACCUUGAUAUUCACUUGCUACAAUCACCUAAACUAAGGUAGACAAUCCAUUUCUGAUAACUUAAACAUUUCAGCAUAUAUCUACUUGGUGUAAAAAUGGAAAAAAAAUUCCCCCAUGUAGUGAAAUAGAAUUCAUGAGGAUUCCAAGUAUUUUUAUAUAAAUAUUUAAGUUGAAGAUUCUCUUUGAUCCAUUUUGGACAUAUAGGCCUACUUAAUUCUAACCAAU